rnacentral:rRNA from 1 species
UACGUAGGGGGCGAGCGUUGUCCGGAAUUAUUGGGCGUAAAGAGCUCGUAGGCGGCUUGGCAAGUCGGAUGUGAAACUCCAGGCUCAACCUGGAGCCGCCAUUCGAUACUGCUAUGGCUAGAGUCCGGUAGGGGAGUGUGGAAUUCCCGGUGUAGCGGUGAAAUGCGCAGAUAUCGGGAGGAACACCGAUGGCGAAGGCAGCACUCUGGGCCGGCACUGACGCUGAGGAGCGAAAGCGUGGGGAGCGAACAGG